rnacentral:tRNA from 1 species
GUCCUUGUCGAUUAGUGGUUAAAUCAUCUCGUUGUGGUAAGCUACUCCGAGAAGCCGGAAGUUCGAAUCCUCCCUGGGACA